AAGGUAGCACAAUCACUUGUUCUUUAAAUAAGGACUAGUAUGAAUGGCAUCACGAGGAUUAAACUGUCUCCCCCACCUAAUCAAUGAAACUGACCUCCCCGUGAAGAAGCGGGGAUAAAUAUAUAAGACGAGAAGACCCUAUGGAGCUUUAAACAUAACACCACCCACCUAAGCCCACUUCAUAAAAAACAGGUGAAGCUUGUGUACGUUUUCAGUUGGGGUGACUGCGGAGCAAAAUAAAACCUCCACGAUGAAAUUUCUAAUCCAAGAACAACAAUUCAAAGAAUCAACAAAUUGACAUUAAUUGACCCAAAUAAUAAUUUGAUCAACGAACUAAGUUACCCUAGGGAUAACAGCGCAAUCCACUUCAAGAGCUCAUAUCGACAAGUGGGUUUACGACCUCGAUGUUGGAUCAGGGUAUCCCAGUGGUGCAGCCGCUACUAA
rnacentral:rRNA from 1 species